rnacentral:lncRNA from 10 species
AAAAAACCACACAGAAAAGAAACAGUAAAAAUACAAUAUUGUAUUCUUGCAGGGCCAUCAUUGUAUAUAUGGUCUGUUGUCCAAAAUGUCAUAAUGUACAUGACUGCAACUACAAGUUGUUUUAUGUGCUAUGAAAAAGAAGCACAUGUGCUCAUUUGGAAUGGGGGGUGAGGGAAAUUCACUCUCAAGAGGUGAAAUGUAAGCCAGUCUCAAAGAUGACAACACACCAACCAGGUAGAGAGCAGUGGGCAGUCGGUGGGGCAGGAAGAGCAUUCUGGUCAGACAGAACAGCAUUGUGUGAAGAUCCAGGGAUGAGAGAGAAUGAAGCAAAGGCAGGCACUGCAAGAAGGCCAUUGCAGCUGGUGCAGAGGGGAAAGUUGCAGAAGGUGCGGCUAGACAGAUAGUUGGGGAAAAGAUCUACCUGGCUUGUUAUGUAUUUUGGAUUUUACACUGUGUAUAAUGGGAGGUCAUUGGAGGGAUUAAAAGAUGACUCUGGCUCCUAGGUAGAGAAUACUUUGAAAAGGUCAGUAAUAGGAGAUUAAUUUAGUUGUUGUAGAAGUUGAAAUGAGAGUUGAUGGUGGCUUGGACUAGAGUUAUAAGGGAACAGGUAGAAAGCAGUAGAGGGAUUUUAAGUAUAUUCUGGAGGUGAAAUCAACAGAACUUGUAAAUGAAUUGGAUGUUGAGGAUGCAAAACAGGGAGGUGUCCAGAAUGACUCCCAGGUUUCUUGUAUCAAGAGUUGGGUAGAAAGAGAUGUCAUUUCCUAAAAUGGAGACUACUGAGAGAGAAGCAAACUGUGGGAGGAUGAGUUAGAGUUCUCUUUAAACUAUGUUAAGUUAAAGGCAUCCAAAUAUAGGUGGCAACCACAGGCAGUCAGAUAAUAUGGAUCUGGAGUUCAGAAGAGAGUCUGAUUAAAAUAUGAAUUAAUCUGUAAGUAAGUGGUAUUUAAAGCUGUGGAAAUCAGCAGAUUAACCAGGCAGUGAAUGUACAUGCAGUGAGGAGAAAUGAGGGCUUAGAAUGGAAACUGGAGGAACUCCCAACAUUUAGAGGUCAAGUAAAGGAGGAGGAAUCAGCAAAUUUGACUGAGGACUGGCCAGACAUGUGGAAGACAAAGAGUAUGGUGUCGCAGAGGCCAAGAUGAAGCUACCAUAGGUCAAAGAAGAUGGAAAUCAUUGGGGUCAUGGGUUGGGCAACAUGGAGGUCACCAAAGACCUUGCUGAUAGCUGUUUUUGAGCAUGUAAGCCAAUGUUGAAAUGGAUUAAAAAGAAGGUAUUUAUAUUUCUGGCAAUAUAUGGGAUUAAUUAUCCCAGAAAAUCUUUCUAUGUAAAGUGCCUGGAAAUGUUGGAUAAAUAUAAGAAAUCAUUUUUUUGAAUGCAUAGCUGAGUACCCAGGAAAAUAAAGGAAGUCUCUAGGGCUGGAAGAAAAAGGGAUACCUUGAAACCUCAGGAUUGUAGCUGAUUCUGAAACUAGAACCGCCCUAGAGGCAUUGGCCAGUCUUGGAAACUGAGAAACUUAAGUUUAGCAGCUGUCCAAGAAGAGACAGAAAGCUCUUGGGACCUUAAAAGGUAGGGAGUUAG